CAGCAGCCGCGGUAAUACGAGGGGAGCUAGCGUUAUUCGGAAUUACUGGGCGUAAAGCGCACGUAGGCGGCUUUGUAAGUUAGAGGUGAAAGCCCAGAGCUCAACUCUGGAAUUGCCUUUAAGACUGCAUCGCUUGAAUCCAGGAGAGGUGAGUGGAAUUCCGAGUGUAGAGGUGAAAUUCGUAGAUAUUCGGAAGAACACCAGUGGCGAAGGCGGCUCACUGGACUGGUAUUGACGCUGAGGUGCGAAAGCGUGGGGAGCAAACAGGAUUAGAUACCCCUGUAGUCCCUGUCUCUUAUAC
rnacentral:rRNA from 1 species